ACUUCCCCCACCUCACUGCCCGGGUGCCCACAAGACUGUGGACAGUGAGGUAGAGGGAGUGC
rnacentral:pre_miRNA from 1 species